UUUGCAUAUCUCAGAGUCCUCUGAGAAGAAAAUCAUUAUCUCUGUUUCAUAGAUUGUGAGAUGAAGGCAUAAAGAGUUACCUCACGGUGGUAUAUUGAAGAAUAUGAAGUGAGGAGCAGAACGGAGAGGAAACUCCAGAUCUCUUGAAACUCCAGCUCAGCACAAGAGAAAAGAAAUGCAUUACCAUCUGAUGAUAAGGAGCUAGCAGAGUCCACACGUGCAUUCAGACCGUGGGUAUAUGUAAACUACGUUCCCCGUGAGAAGGGCAAAAUAGAAAAUGUAUUUUCUCUGCAGUAGCAGCAGUGAUC
rnacentral:lncRNA from 1 species